rnacentral:rRNA from 1 species
GACGAACGCUGGCGGCGUGCUUAACACAUGCAAGUCGAACGAUGAAGAAGAGAAACGCGAACUUCGGUUCAAAUUUCACUUCGGAUUAGUGGCAGACGGGUGAGUAACGCGUGAGCAACCUACCUCUUACAAAGGGAUAGCCUCGGGAAACCGUGAUUAAUACCAUAUGACACAUUCAUAAGGCAUCUUAAGAAUGUUAAAGCUACGGCGGUAAGAGAUGGGCUCGCGUCCCAUUAGCUAGUUGGUGAGGUAACGGCCCACCAAGGCGACGAUGGGUAACCGGCCUGAGAGGGUGAACGGUCACAUUGGAACUGAGACACGGUCCAAACUCCUACGGGAGGCAGCAGUGGGGAAUAUUGCACAAUGGAGGGAACUCUGAUGCAGCGACGCCGCGUGGGCGAUGAAGGAAUUCGUUUCGUAAAGCUCUGUUCUAUGGGAAGAAAAGGACUGUACCAUAGGAGAAAGCCCCGGCUAAAUACGUG